GGGGACAUAGCUCAGUUGGUAGAGUGUGCUUGCCUCACGUGCACAAGGCCCUGGGUUGUUCAAUUCCCAGCACCA
rnacentral:tRNA from 1 species